rnacentral:lncRNA from 1 species
ACUCCUGGGAGAACUGGGAAGGUGAUGUCCAUCACCUUAACAGACUGUAAAUUCUUGGGAACAGGGCCUGAGUUUUAUUCCCCUCUUGCCCAGCAGCUGUCAAGAUGCCCAACACAGAGCAGUUGCUUAAUAUGCACAUUCUUUGCUGCACAAGCUUUUUCAAAAACUGCUGCUGAGUUUGCACGAUGAAGCUGCUGUGGACUGAAUAUUUGUGUUUUCUCCAAAUUCGCACGAAGCCCUAACCCCCCAUGCGUCUAUAUUUGGAGAUGGGGCCUUUACAGAGAGAUGAAGUCUUGCCAUGUUCCUCAGCCUGAUUUGAAACUCCUGGGCUCAAGUGAAUCUUCUGCCUCGGCCUCCCAAACUGUUGGGAUUACAACCAUGAGCCACCACGUCUGGCCUCACUAUUUUAAGUAUUGGAAUUUUAAAAUAAGUCUUAAAACAAGAUAGGGUAAGCUUUAUAACUUUGUUCUUAUUUGCAGGAUUAUUUUGGUUACUCUAGAGUCUACACGUUUCCAUAUAUAUUUUAAAAUCAGCUUGUCAAUUUCUACAAAUAAAACCUGCUAUGUUUUGAUUGGAAUUUCCUUGUAUCUAUAAAUCAACUUGGAGAGAAC